UACGGAGGGUGCAAGCGUUAAUCGGAAUUACUGGGCGUAAAGCGUGCGUAGGUGGUUCGUUAAGUCCGUUGUGAAAGCCCCGAGCUCAACUUGGGAAUUGCAGUGGAUACUGGCGAGCUGGAGUGCGGUAGAGGAAGGUGGAAUUCCCGGUGUAGCGGUGAAAUGCAUUGAGAUCGGAAAGAACACCAACGGCGAAAGCACUCUGCUGGGCCGACACUGACACUGAGAGACGAAAGCUAGGGGAGCAAAUGGG
rnacentral:rRNA from 1 species